GGUGUAAGCAUGGUAACAUGUUCAGCUGACUAAUACUAAUAAGUCGAGGGCUUGACCAA
rnacentral:rRNA from 1 species